UUUCGUAAGAUAUAUUACAAUGUUUUAAUCGCAAUAUUUGACUUUCAGAAAUGAUAAACAUAGAUUUCUACUAUUAUUAAAGUUUUAUAAACUAUGGAAAGUUUAAAGCAUAUGUGCACAUAAAGUUAACCAAGUUAGUAUGUGAAAUGAAAUAAGUGGCAUGUUUUAAAAGAUAGAGGGGUUAAAAUGGAAAUAUGCUAUAAAUAAACACUUGACAAAAAAAAAAAUUAGUCAGUGUUUGGUCUGGGCGUGCGAACGAGGAGAAGGAACCAAGGGAACCAAAACCCUAAACAACCUAAAAUCAUCAAAUUGAAAGGGGAAUCGAGGGCUGAUCGAAUGCAUGAGUCUAGAUACCCUUUAAUCUAAGUGUAUUGAUCAUAAGGAACGUGUCAAGGAGAGCUCAAGCAUAGGAGGAUAACGGGUCAAGAUAAGGCAAGGUGACAAAUACACUUAUUGGAAUACUCAAGGUAAGUGAUUUCUAUAAUCACUUCUUUAGUUGUUUAAGUAAUAUAAUGUUUUAAUUAUUAAGUUCAUAUGAAGUUGAGGUUAAAUCAAUGGAUUAUUUUGAUAAAUGCACGAAUGGGUCGAAUAAUUCAUAGAUGAAUAACAAGCCGAAUACGUAUAAGUUAAGGAAUUCCUUAACUCGGAUGUUGGACUUCAAGAUCACGUGAUAGAAUAUUAAAUUACAAUCAUAUAGGAAGAAACGUGACGCAAAACGGACGAAAAAUGAGAGAGUUAUGUCCGUUUCAGUAAGGAUUAAUGGCUAGAAAAAGUGCAGAGUUGACACGGCCGGGUGGUGAACUGACACGGCCGGGUGAAGGUUCUGUCAAAAAUAAUAUUUAUGUGAUUUAUGCGCCGUAGGCUUCGGUAUAUUAUCCGUGAACUACGACGGGCCUCCCAAACAUGAUUUCGAGUGUUUCCUUGACGAUUAUAAGUUGUAAACCCAAGUCUAAGCCUCAUGUAAUUUAUAUAAGAGUGUGAUAGAUGUAUGUAAAGAAGUUGGACAUGUAUUACAUGUAAAUGUAUACAAAAAUACGUACGGAACACGUAGGUAUGAAUACAUGAUUGUAGGUAUGAUUAAAUGUAUAUUAGGUAUGUAGAUGUGUAUGAUUGUAAGUUUGUAUGUGUGCAAGUAUGUGCGAAUGCAUGAUUCGGAUGCAUUUAAAUGGUUAACGUCCUUUUUAUGAAGAUGUAGUAAAUGAAUAUGUUGAGAUUACGGGUUUGGCUAACCAAGUUAUUAUUGAGUAUGUUUGAAAGUGCAGGUGAUGAAUGUCGGACUUUCGAAGUGUUGAUAUAAUAAUGAAACGGUUGAAUGUUGAAAGGAUAAUCGGACUGAAGUAACUUAUGCGGUUAGAAUAUGCUAUGGACGUUUUAGUUUAUACAAUAUUAUAUGUUUGGUCGUCACCAUCUACUAACAGGUAAAUCCUCAAUUUAGGCGACUUGGAGAAUCGGAGCGAGCGCGUGUUCGUGUUAUGCGAUACCAAACGCUUCCGCUAGUUUGUUCAAAUGUUUUUGACCCAAAAUUUGUUGUAUUGGUUUUUAGUAGUAUCUUGUUGAACGAAUUGUAGAAUUGUAUCUAGAUUGUUUAUGUUUAAAACAGGGGUAUGCUCGUUUUAUGGACGGGUCAUGCCCGAUUUUUGUUAAAUUAUAGUUUGAUAAUAUCACAUUUAGGAAGGUGAAAUUUUGGGCGUAACAAGUUGGUAUCAGAGCCUAGGUUUGAGGGAUUCGAGCAAGAGUAUCAGUGCUUGAACUCAAACCGAUGACUCGUGCAAAAGUGUGCUCGCUCCGAGAUCGCCAAUGAGGCCAAGAGCACGCGGGUUAUGUGAAGGGUAAGCGCAAUUGUUCGGAAGGAAUGAUCCGUGAAUGCGGUCUAGGACCGGCAUCAAAGCAAGUAAUAAGACGAAUUGACCCCUGGUACGUAUACUCAACGCGUUGAUGUAUGAAAUAGUAUAAUUAGGCAAGUGAAAGGAAAAUCUAAAUGAAUACAACAACGACAUGGUAAAGGAGUUUUAAAAAUGUAACACGUGCCGAAACUUAAUUCUUCGGGCAUAAUGUGGCGAUUACGCGAAGACACGAAACUAGUACGUGGAUUGUGUGCCUGGCCAGUACACAAGAAACGUAUGGCGUUCGUGAGACCGCGAUAAUUGUUACAUGUAUGUCCGUUAGAAUUGGGUAGCAGGUGGGCGUACGGGUGAAAUGAGUAGUAAGACUCUCGGGAGAUUGAGAGUACUACGUAAGAGUACAAAAUGCAAGUGAUAAGAAUAAAAUGUUGAAUCCGUAAGAAGUACGGACCAACAAUGUAUGAAUGCAAUGCUUGAAUCUGCGAGACGGAUUCAAGGAAUGAAAGAUACGAAUGCAAUGCUUGAAUCUGCGAGACAGAUUCAAGGAAUGAAAGAUACGAAUGCAAUGCUUGAAUCUGCGAGACGGAUUCAAGGAAUGAAAGAUACGAAUGCAAUGCUUGAAUCCGCGAGACGGAUUCAAGGAAUGAAAGAUACGAAUGCAAUGCUUGAAUCUGCGAGACGGAUUCAAGGAAUGAAAGAUACGAAUGCAAUGCUUGAAUCUGCGAGACGGAUUCAAGGAAUGAAAGAUACGAAUGCAAUGCUUGAAUCCGCGAGACGGAUUCAAGGAAUGAAAGAUACGAAUGCAAUGCUUGAAUCCGCGAGACGGAUUCAAGGAAUGAAAGAUACGAAUGCAAUGCUUGAAUCCGCGAGACGAAUUCAAAGAAUGAAAGAUAUGGAUGCAAUGCUUGAAUCCGCGAGACGGAUUCAAGAAAUGAAAGGCAUGAAUGCAAUGUUCAAAUCCGCGAAGCGGACUUAAGGUAUAAAAAGGCGAAAACUAGUCUACAUAAGAAGAGUCAAUAGUUUGACCAUGAUUGCGUCAAACAAGUCAUAUAAGUAAAUGUAAAGCAAAUGAACAAAGAAAUGACAAGAAUGAAGAUAUUCGAAUGUGAAGUAAUUACGUACCAAACAAAUAAAUGUUCCUUAAGUGAUGUGAUUCAGUUUAUGCUUGAACUUCUAUAUAUAUAUAUAUAUAUAUAUGAAUAUAUUUAUGCAAAUGCGUUUUGUACAAGAAUGGUCGAAAGGAUAAAUGGGUCAUACGGGUCAGAUGGCGAUCUCCAUUUGAACUCGGUAGUUAAUGUUUUGAUAUGUUAAGUUUUGUACUCAUAGGUGAGCUUGAUGAAUGGACACGCAAUGUUACUAAUCAGAAAGGAAGGAUCAUCGUAAGGUAUGGAUAACGAAUCAAUGGAAUUUACUUCCGUCAGGUAUGUAUAAAAAGAAGUGUAACUUUAAUAGAGGUUAGUACUCGACUAGAAAUGGAUGUGUCAGAAUAGAAUGUAUGUAUAUAUACAAACCGUAAUGCAAAAUGUGGAGUGAAUUUCAAAAUGUUCGUAAUGAUCAUCGGGUAGUAUUGAACUUGAAUGCUCGUAACUGUGGAAAUUCUGAUAGAAUAUAAGAGACGAUAAGUAUCCUUAAGAAAUGCUAACUUUGAUGCUCGGCUUGUUGGCCAUGUUCAUUUGAACAAGACAUUGUAGAAAAGAUACGCAUGGCAUAAAUAACAAUAAUAACCAUGGAAAUAAUGCUUAGUCUUCGUGAUUUAAGUAUGGAUAAGUAAGUUUAAGAAAGGAUGUUGGUAACGGGAUGAUAAGGUUUGCUCGUGGUGAACAUAAUGAAAUAAUGUAUAUGAUAUAAUGAUAGAAUGAAACAAAUCAUAGAAAGUGAAAACGACACUAAUAAGAGCUCUGGAUCAGAUUAUGAGUUUUAUGUGAUUAUGAAAAUAAAUUACAUAAUUUAAGAACGUAAGGACAAUGCGUACAAUCAUGUUUAGGUAUGAAACAAACUUUUGACCAAGAUCCCGAAUGUAUUCAUGUUGUAAUAAGCAUCGUGAAUGAAUAGAUGGAAAGGUAAGAGUAGUAUUGGGCUACUAAGAAUAAGAAAGGUUUCGGGGACGAAACCUUCUUUAAGGGGGGUAGACUUGUAACACGCCAAAUUUCGUAAGAUAUAUUACAAUGUUUUAAUCGCAAUAUUUGACUUUCAGAAAUGAUAAACAUAGAUUUCUACUAUUAUUAAAGUUUUAUAAACUAUGGAAAGUUUAAAGCAUAUGUGCACAUAAAGUUAACCAAGUUAGUAUGUGAAAUGAAAUAAGUGGCAUGUUUUAAAAGAUAGAGGGGUUAAAAUGGAAAUAUGCUAUAAAUAAACACUUGACAAAAAAAAAUUAGUCAGUGUUUGGUCUGGGCGUGCGAACGAGGAGAAGGAACCAAGGGAACCAAAACCCUAAACAACCUAAAAUCAUCAAAUUGAAAGGGGAAUCGAGGGCUGAUCGAAUGCAUGAGUCUAGAUACCCUUUAAUUUAAGUGUAUUGAUCAUAAGGAACGUGUCAAGGAGAGCUCAAGCAUAGGAGGAUAACGGGUCAAGAUAAGGCAAGGUGACAAAUACACUUAUUGGAAUACUCAAGGUAAGUGAUUUCUAUAAUCACUUCUUUAGUUGUUUAAGUAAUAUAAUGUUUUAAUUAUUAAGUUCAUAUGAAGUUGAGGUUAAAUCAAUGGAUUAUUUUGAUAAAUGCACGAAUGGGUCGAAUAAUUCAUAGAUGAAUAACAAGCCGAAUACGUAUAAGUUAAGGAAUUCCUUAACUCGGAUGUUGGACUUCAAGAUCACGUGAUAGAAUAUUAAAUUACAAUCAUAUAGGAAGAAACGUGACGCAAAACGGACGAAAAAUGAGAGAGUUAUGUCCGUUUCAGUAAGGAUUAAUGGCUAGGAAAAGUGCAGAGUUGACACGGCCGGGUGGUGAACUGACACGGCCGGGUGAAGGUUCUGUCAAAAAUAAUAUUUAUGUGAUUUAUGCGCCGUAGGCUUCGGUAUAUUAUCCGUGAACUACGACGGGCCUCCCAAACAUGAUUUCGAGUGUUUCCUUGACGAUUAUAAGUUGUAAACCCAAGUCUAAGCCUCAUGUAAUUUAUAUAAGAGUGUGAUAGAUGUAUGUAAAGAAGUUGGACAUGUAUUACAUGUAAAUGUAUACAAAAAUACGUACGGAACACGUAGGUAUGAAUACAUGAUUGUAGGUAUGAUUAAAUGUAUAUUAGGUAUGUAGAUGUGUAUGAUUGUAAGUUUGUAUGUGUGCAAGUAUGUGCGAAUGCAUGAUUCGGAUGCAUUUAAAUGGUUAACGUCCUUUUUAUGAAGAUGUAGUAAAUGAAUAUGUUGAGAUUACGGGUUUGGCUAACCAAGUUAUUAUUGAGUAUGUUUGAAAGUGCAGGUGAUGAAUGUCGGACUUUCGAAGUGUUGAUAUAAUAAUGAAACGGUUGAAUGUUGAAAGGAUAAUCGGACUGAAGUAACUUAUGCGGUAAAUCCUCAAUUUAGGCGACUUGGAGAAUCAGAGCGAGCGCGUGUUCGUGUUAUGCGGUACCAAACGCUUCCGCUAGUUUGUUCAAAUGUUUUUGACCCAAAAUUUGUUGUAUUGGUUUUUAGUAGUAUCUUGUUGAACGAAUUGUAGAAUUGUAUCUAGAUUGUUUAUGUUUAAAACAGGGGUAUGCUCGUUUUAUGGACGGGUCAUGCCCGAUUUUUGUUAAA